AAGAGUCAUAUGCUAAUCCUACUGAGUCAUCCUUGUGCCUCUAAAGUCACACUUUUUAACUGGCCAAGGAAUCAUGGGGUUUUAAACCUUCUGACCUAUGCUUGAAAAUAUUAUUUGUUCCGGUAAUUUUUAGCAAACCUGGAGAGUGGACAGCCAAGCACACGUUGCUAUUGCCAUUCUUUCCCCUCUGUGGAUGUGGGAUUGAGGAAGAUAAAUUCCUGGAAUUGCUUCAGUUCACAAAGCAGUUACAAAUACUGUGCUACAAAAUAUAUGGCAGUUGCUCCAAAUGGCAAUUGAUGGAAAUGUUUGCUUCCCUGCCUGGUAGGUUGUAGCCUCUGGGGUUCAAAUUGAGAGACUGAGGAGUUUGUCAUGAUCUGGUAAAUCCUGGAUUUCUUUUCUUUUCUUUUCUCUUUUCUUUUCUUUUCUUUUUUCUUUCUUUUCUUUUUUCUUUUCUUUUCUUUCUUUUCUUCUUUUCUCUUCUUUUCUUUUGUUCUCCUUUUCCUUUUUCU
rnacentral:lncRNA from 12 species